UGAAGCGGGAAAAGCUCAAAUUUAAAAUCUGGCGUCCUCCGGGCGUCCGAGUUGUAAUCUGGAGAAGCGUUUUCCGCGUCGGACCGUGUACAAGUCUUCUGGAACGGAGCGUCAUAGAGGGUGAGAAUCCCGUCUCUGACACGGACUACCGAUGCUUUUGUGAUGCGCUCUCGAAGAGUCGAGUUGUUUGGGAAUGCAGCUCAAAAUGGGUGGUAAAUUCCAUCUAAAGCUAAAUAUUGGCCAGAGACCGAUAGCGAACAAGUACCGUGAGGGAAAGAUGAAAAGCACUUUGGAAAGAGAGUUAAACAGUACGUGAAAUUGUUGAAAGGGAAACGCUUGAAGUCAGUCGCGUUGGCCGAGACUCAGCCUGGCUUGCCUGGUGUACUUCUCGGUUGACGGGUCAGCAUCAGUUUUGACCGUCGGAUAAAGGUUGGAGGAAUGUGGCAUCCCUCGGGAUGUGUUAUAGCCUCUGAUUCGCAUACGGCGAUUGGGACUGAGGAACUCAGCACGCCUUUAUGGUCGGGGUUCGCCCACGUAACGUGCUUAGGAUGCUGGCAUAAUGGCUUUAAGCGACCCGUCUUGAAACACGGACCAAGGAGUCUAACAUGCCCGCGAGUGUUUGGGUGUUAAACCCGAGCGCGUAAUGAAAGUGAAAGUUGAGAUC
rnacentral:rRNA from 1 species